CACACCCACUGAGCUGUGUUGCAGGUGGAGCCCCAAGGUGUGUGUGAAGAAUAUCCGUUUAUCUUCAAGCCACAGGAGCAAAAGCACGGAUCCGUAACGAACUGUGGUAUUUCCAUGCUCUGAAUGUCAACGAGAGGCUUCCAUGAGAGCUAUCCCUCACCACAACCUGGUACUGAAACAGUUGCAUUGAGCGGCCAGCACAGCCAGCUGGCACGCAGGGCUCCUGACUGCAGCUACUGGGAGGCUGAAGAGUCAAGAAGAACCAACAGUGAUCUUCAAGAUGUCUGUAAGGCCCCUAACUAGAGACAGGAUGCCUAAUGUGGUUACAAAUCUUUAUCAUACAGAUGAAUUAGCCUGUGCUAACUGCCCAAGGACCAGAUUAAAUCAUGAGUGAUCAGUGUGCAAAGAAUGAUCUCUGCUCUCUGAAAGUGGGAUAUGGUCAGAAACUAGUGUAUUGAUGCUGGAAUAAAGAUGACAGCUAGUCAGGGAUUUUAUGUAAUUAAAUAUGAAGUGAUUUAAUGGAUUUUUUAAAGUUUAUAAUGCUAAGGUUACUCAUUUUUAUU